rnacentral:tRNA from 1 species
GGGGAUUUAGCUCAGCGGUAGAGCACUUGCCUAGCAAGUACAAGGCCCUAGGUUCAAUCCCCA